rnacentral:sRNA from 1 species
GCCAUCUCUGCUGGACGGUCCUCCCCCUGGGACUUCGCCCUGAGGGACUCAUCUCUCCGCGCUCUGACAGAAGAUGGCAUCAAUGUGACAGUGAUCCGUGCCCUCCACACACUCAUCUACAUCUGGCCCGGGCAGAGGAAGACACAUCAGAACAGAACUGGUGUCUCGGGUGAGUUUUGAAGGUGUGUUCCCCAAAGGCAGAGUCCCCGUAUGCCUGUGCAUGCCUGAGGUCCCCUUGCAUCCCUCUGAAUGAUUCAGGAAUUCGAGUGAACCCUCACUGCUCAGAAAUACUCAAACCAUGGUGACAGCUCCACCAUGCGCUGAGACACUCCUCUUCAGUUUGAAUAGCACACACUUGACAUGUCAGACAUAGCCAGCCCAGUGCGGACUAGUUUAUCUUUCUUAGCAGCAGACUUGGAGGGAGAGAGACAGGCACAGAGUCCCUGAUGACGACCCAGUGAGCACUGAUAAUGUUUUUCUAGACCCAUACAGUCCAAGUUGGCCUAGAACUCAUUACAUAGCUGAGGGCGGUCUUCAAUGCCUGCUCCCUCUGCCGCCUGCUCCCCCACCCCAUCUCCCAAAUGCUGGGGUUACAGGCAUGUCCUACCCUGCCCAGCUGCUCUCUAGUAAUUAAGGAAGAAAGGGAGAUGCAGCCUGUCUGGGUCCGCCGGAGAGCACGCGAGUCCUGCCUGGCAUCACGCCGCCUGCUGUGAUCCCAGCACUGGGGUACAGCUGCACACACAAGAACAGAACUGGUGUGUCUCUCUCGGGUGAGUUUUGAAUGUGUUCCCCAAAGGCAGAGUCCCCAUAUGCCAGUGCACACCUGAGGUCCCCUCACCGUCCUCUGAACACUUCAGGAAUUCAAAUGAACUCGGAGACCGGGGCAGAAGGAUCAGGAGUUCUAGGUUAAUGAGACCCUGUCCCAAAAACCUAGGAGAAGAUGAAGCCAGCCCCUGACUGUUCACCACACCCUUGUCCACCAUGGCACCAAGGAGCUUUAGAAGAACAGGGCUCUACUUGGGAAGAUUUCUCUUGGCCCUGAGCUAUCAAUGGAAGGACCAGGAACCUGGCAAGCCUCUCUUCCUCUAUGCCCUCUCUUUCUGGAUACUUGUGUGCCAACACUAAUUGCUUCCUCUAGUCAGUGUGACAGACAGAGCCACACUAAAGGAAGAGGCUCCUCCAGAGGGGGUUGGUCAGGGGGAGGGUGGUGGUUAAGGACGUCCAGGUGUGGUGGCACACCACUUGGGAGGCAGCCUGGCCUAUAGGAGUUCCAGGACUAUACUAAGAAACUGUCUCAGGGAAAAAGUGAAAAAGAAAAAGACUUUAAACAGUUGGGAACAACAUGGAACCCUAAAGAAGUGAUGAAGACGAGGUCUCACUCAGCAGAAGAGGUCCUGGGUGGCGGUUGUUACAUUCAGAACCGCACAGGUGACUACCCAGCCAGGAUACAUGACAGCUCAAACUGGUCUGUCCCAUGAGGCCUUAGGGAUGAGCCUCAACCCAGGCCGCACAGCAGAGCCGACUCCCCUAAAAAUGCCUCAGGCCUCAAAGACUGGACUCAACACAUCUGAUUCUAAUGAGCAGCUGGGGUUGAGAACCUUGUCACAGUCUGAGGAGGAAGAGCCCACAUCUCCCCUACGAACUGGAAAAAGACAGUGUGUGGGUUGAAGUCUGCCAGUAAAGGAGCAUUAGUCUGGGAGCAAGGCUGGUGUGACUCCAGAGCUUCCAAGUGAGGUUCGUCAGAACGCAGAUUCUCGGACCUUGUCGCCCACCCAGUGAAUCCAGCUGCUUAAGGCUCCUCGGCUGAGCAGAGAAGCGUGCCACACACCGGCAAUCUCUGCGGUCUGUAGGUACAGUUCUGAGUAUUAGGAGACCAUCUACACUUACCACCCGCCUCAGCCAAGCUCAGCAGUCACGUGCCUGCCAGGCCAUCACCAAGGAAGAGAAAAGACGGAGAGCAGAGAGCCCCAGCAGUCAAGUACCUAAACCAACAUUCUCUUGGAUGCCUGCUUCAUGUUAACUCGGUGCGAUGAAUUCCUCGAGGCCAUGGCUUCUGAACCUUUGAACCCACCAGAACUGCUGGCAGAGCCGUGCACACUUGAGCACUCAGCAAAUGGCUACCAGGUACCUGCACAAGGGUAAGCACUGUGCCAGGGACUGAGGGCUCGGCCUCGAGUGGGACAGGAUAACCAGGCAGUGAAGGUGCCCUGUGGGUAUCUGUUAGACAUACGGUGGCCGAGACUGUUACCUGCGGUCUACCCCGGGGAAGAAGCCUGCCCCUUUACUCUUGACCAUUUGGCAUUCUGGGAGACAGGGGUAUCCUAGGGUGUUUAUUCUGAGGCGUAGGGAGCUCACUGGGUAAAGCACCAUGGAACCUGACCUGGGAUCCCCAGAACUCAUGUAAUGCUAGAUUCAGGACCCGGCAUCUCUUGUCAGGUUUCCUACACCAAGAUGGGAGGCAGGGACAGGUGAGUCCCCAGACUGCCUCACUUAUGGAGUGGUGAACGGGACAGUCUGUCCCAAACAAGGUGGAAGGUGAGAGCUGGCCCCUGAGGUUGUCCUCUGACCUCCAUAUGUGUGCUGCGGCCGUGUGCCCACGAGUACACAGUACACACAGAGAUAUAAGAGCGCACACAGCGUGCUGGGGGCCUGAGACACAGAGAGAGACAGAGAUCUCGCCUCCCCUGCCCUCAGCUCAGUACUUUGUUCAGCUUGAGCAAGAAACCGGCACAGAGCAUGAGAUGGACCCGAGCCGAAUCCGAUGGUUAAAAACCAGCAUGUAGAUGCUGGGACACACAAGAGGGAACCCGGGUAGACAGAGAGCCAGCGGGCAGACACGGAGGCAAGGAGGAGAGGGUGGGCGGACUCAGUGGUGGGCAGGUGUCGCCAGCCUUGGGAUUCACUACUCUGGGGCCAAGCAGCUGGUCAGAAACAAAAACAAACACCAGGGGGUACAGGCUCCUGCUGUUAACAGCUUCAAACCACCAGAGGAAAACUCCAAAUAAAUAUAAUUAGAAACUUGUAAAAAAAAAAAAAAAGUCCUCUCUGUAAACCUGCCCCCCAGGAUCUACCCCUUAAGCAUCUUUCCACCCCCCCCCAGAGCCCACAUAGCCUGAUGCUGUACCUCAGCCAGGGGUCCCUCAGGCCUGUCUCUCAUCCUGCGUCUCCUACCCGCCAGCAACCCAGUUUGCUAAGUUUGCCCCAUUCAGUAACCACAAGCAGACAGCCCCAGGCACACAGCUCUGAAAUCCAAAGCCUGCAGCUCUCUGGGGCUACGGUUCAUCACAGGGGGAAACCAUUGGCAAACCAAGGCCCCUAGUGCCCCAUUCAGGGGGUCACCCACCCACUUCUGAGAGCCAGCAGUGGAUCCAGCUCUAACUACCAAGCAAACCCUUGAUCUGAGGAGGGAAGGGGGCGGGGUGGGGUGAGGUGGGAGGGUGGGAGGAGACAGAGAUCAUUCGUGGCUACCACAGGACACAGAAACACACACACACACACACACACACACACACACACGCAAUUCUAGGGUAGCUAGCUGCUCAUGGGACACAAGACUGUUAGAUGCUUGGGAAACCGAGGUGAGGGGCAUUGGGUGGGGGGUGGGGGAGGAAAAAUACCAAGUAACCAGGCCUCCAGCAGGCAGAGGAGAGGUCGUCCAGGUGGAGAGGGCCUGCCCUGUGUGUGAAAAACCAAGCCUGGGGCCUAAAGCUGACCCAUAUGAGUGAGUUCAGUAAAACUGGCCGAACCCUAAAGCUCCCAGCCAUUGGGCUUGGCAUUUGUCAAAACUCACACCCUACCUUCUGCCCACCUAGUGCCUCCCCAGUCAGGCCAGUGGGCAAGAGAGUGGC